UACCAGCACCCCGAGUGGUCGGGACGAUUAUUGGGCCUAAAAGCAUUCGUAGCCGGUUUUACAAGUCCUCCGUUAAAUCCAGCUGCUUAACAGAUGGGCUGCGGAGGAUACUAUAAGACUAGGAGGCAGGAGAGGCAAGCGGUACUCAGUGGGUAGGGGUAAAAAUCCGUUGAUCCAUUGAAGACCACCAGUGGCGAAGGCGGCUUGCCAGAAUGCGCUCGACGGUGAGGGAUGAAAAGCUGGGGGAGCAAACCGG
rnacentral:rRNA from 1 species